rnacentral:lncRNA from 1 species
UGAGGAGGAGAGAAGAAUAAAGAUGGUUGCAAGGCUGCAGCCUGGGUGGAUGGCAGUGCCAUUUGCUGGGGGCGAGGAAGGCUCGGAGGAAGCCGACUGGGAGGAAAGGAACACAGGCACACACGCUCUAUCUUGGACAUUUUGAGUUGGAGGUGAUGUCAGCGCAGCAUUUGGAGGUGAUGUCAGAGAAGCAUUUGGAUACAGAGGUCUGGGCUAGAAACGCAAGUGUGGGAGCUCUCAGCACAGAGAUGACUCCACACAAUGAAACCAGGACGCUUUUGGCUGCAUCUCACACUGCUUGGAGCCUCCCUGCCUGCUGCUUUGGGAUGGAUGAGCCCAGGAACCAGCAGAGGACUGAACACGGGUGGGGGAGAGUCCCCGGCAGAG